UACAAGUUCACUGAUGACAGCAAAAGUCUAUUUACUCAGCUACACCCAAGUUCUGCAUGCAGUAGGUUCCUAUCAGAUUUUGGUCUGAGCACAUCAACAUUUUCUGAGAACCGAGAUCUGCAGGUUGACUUGAAGGUAAGCUGACAAGAAAGCAUUGAGCUCUCCGCCCCUGUAAGCUCCAAAGACUUUGCAUUCCAAGUCUGCGCGUUAAGUGAAUGAAGGAUGGGAGAAAAGGAGGGAGAGAAGAGAUGAAACCUCCCCGUACUCCAACUGUCAAAACAGCUCCGAGACCACAACACUAGAAGCAGAGACCUCUUCCUGACUACA